ensembl:snRNA U6 U6 spliceosomal RNA
GUGGUCACUUCAGCAGCACAUAUACUAGAAUUGGAAAGAUACAGAGAAGAUUAGUAUGGUCCCUGCACAAGGAUGACACACAAAUUUAUGAACUGUUCCAUAUUUUC